ensembl:lncRNA
CUGGAGCCAAGUAAGUGUCCUGAUCUGGCGAAGGAAAGUAGAAAAAAAUAGCUUCCAUUUUCCUGUUAUUAUUUUGGAGCCGAAAUUGGGAAGAAAUAUUAUUCAGUAGCUUUUCCACAACAGCUGCUGAAUGUGCUCGUGCCCAGCCCGCGACUUGGAGUCGGGCAGAGGGGGUGUUGGGGGUUAGGACGGAAUGCUCAGCACCUGACCCCUUACAGCUGCGGAGGAGGCUCUCCCUUUUCUCAGUAGUUCUCCAUUUUUCUUCCUACAGCAUGUUUCCCUGGGAGCCACUGUGAUGGAUCAACGACAACAAUAGAGAUGGGUCAUCUGAGUGCUGAGAGGAAAGGAAGUACUGUACUCGCAUAGAAAGUUAACAACGAUAUGCUAAAUUUUGAUUUGUGUAAAAAAUAUGGAUAUGUAUUAGUAUAUGUAUAGAAAAUGUGUUUUCAGAUGAAAAUAUAGAAAUCAAAUUGCAGUGGUUACCUUGAGUGUUGUGUCUUUCAGUUUAUAAGGAGUUUCUAUGGAAUUUGGCAUGAAAUUUGCAUUAAUUUUGUCACUAACGUGACCAAAUUCCUCUUACUGUUUGCUCUUGGGCUUGAAACGUCUUUUAGUUUCUCCCCUUAAAAAUGAAACCUCCAAAAUGGCAGUUUUUACUAUUGAAGGUCCACUUUAGGAAUGCUUCUCCCUGGAGCCUGCGAUUUCAGCUUGUCGUUCCUGUUGAAGGAGCCGUGUGUGUGUGCGCGCCAACCGCCCUUUGUCAACAAUUACAUUUCCCAUAAUUUUCUUACCUUUUCAACUUAGUUAAUGGUGGGUCUUUUUUGGGUGAGGGCACAAUAUAUUUAACACUGUAUGUAGUAAAUGUCACUCUUUUUUCUGCCUAGGUUCUGAGUUUAUAUUCAGCUUUGCACUUGCCAGUCUGGGGACAGAAGUUUGCCUUUUCACAGGGUAGUUCAGUAUGCUGAAAUUAUUGUGUCAGUGGGAAAUCAUCUUCCCCACUCCUCCCAUUUCUAUGAGGUGCAAUUUUCUAUGAAUAAUUUUAGUUUCUUGCCUCAUCUUUUCAUUUCCCCCCCAGUGCUUGAGUGAAUUAUCUGUUUGUAGAGUUUCUAAGGGGAUCAGAAUAUGAAAAUUCCAGCCUUCCCGUCCCAGUCUCUUUUCUU